rnacentral:rRNA from 1 species
GGUAUCUUUUCUUUUUUACGUCGCUCGUAGCUAUACUGCAAGUCGAGCGGACUUGAUGGAGCUUGCUCCCUGUAGUUAGCGGCGGACGGGUGAGUAACACGUGGGCAACCUGCCUGUAAGACUGGGAUAACUCCGGGAAACCGGAGCUAAUACCGGAUAGUAUCUUGAACCGCGUGGUUCAGGUUGGAAAGACGGUUUCGGCUGUCACUUACAGAUGGGCCCGCGGCGCAUUAGCUAGUUGGUGAGGUAAUGGCUCACCAAGGCAACGAUGCGUAGCCGACCUGAGAGGGUGAUCGGCCACACUGGGACUGAGACACGGCCCACACUCCUACGGGAGGCAGCAGUAGGGAAUCUUCCGCAAUGGACGAAAGUCUGACGGAGCAACGCCGCGUGAGUGAUGAAGGUUUUCGGAUCGUAAAACUCUGUUGUUAGGGAAGAACAAGUGCGAGAGUAACUGCUCGCACCUUGACGGACCUAACCAGAAAGCACGGGUAAUACGUGCCCCAGCCGCGGUAAACGUAUGUGGCAAGCGUUGUCCGGAAAUAUUGGGCGUAAAGCGCGCGCAGGCGGGUUCUUCAGUCUGAUGUGAAAGCCCCCGGCUCACCCGGGGAGGGUCACUGGAGACUGGGAAACUUGAGUGCCCAAAAGGAGAGUGGAAUUCCCGUGUAGCGGUGGAAGUGCUCAGAUGUGGAGGAAACCCCUGGCCAAG